UACGUAGGGUGCAAGCGUUAAUCGGAAUUACUGGGCGUAAAGCGUGCGCAGGCGGUUAUGCAAGACAGAUGUGAAAUCCCCGGGCUCAACCUGGGAACUGCAUUUGUGACUGCAUGGCUGGAGUGCGGCAGAGGGGGAUGGAAUUCCGCGUGUAGCAGUGAAAUGCGUAGAUAUGCGGAGGAACACCGAUGGCGAAGGCGGCGUUCUGGACUGCAACUGACACUGAUGAACGAAAGCCAGGGGAGCAAACGGG
rnacentral:rRNA from 1 species